rnacentral:rRNA from 1 species
CCUACGGAGUGCAGCAGUGAGGAAUAUUGGUCAAUGGCCGGAAGGCUGAACCAGCCAAGUCGCGUGAGGGACGACUGCCCUAUGGGUUGUAAACCUCUUUUAUAAGGGAAGAAUAAAUGCUACGUGUAGCAUGAUGCCUGUACCUUGUGAAUAAGCAUUGGCUAACUCCUUGCCAGCAGCCGAGGUAAUACGGAGGAUGCGAGCGGUAUCCAGUUUUAUUGGGGUGAAAGGGUGCGUAGGCGGUUUUUUAAGGUCGUGGUUAAACGUCGGUGCGUCACCUUGAUUUGCCAUUAAUACUGUAAUGCUCGAGUUCAGACUGGGUAGACGGAAUAAGUUAAGUAGCGGUGAGAUGCUUAGGUAUAACUUAGAACUCCGAUAGCGAAGGCAGCUUACCAGACUGCUACUGACGCUGAAGCACGAGAGCGUGGGUAGCGAACAGGAGUAGAUACCCCAGUAGUC